rfam:Beta vulgaris subsp. vulgaris 0533.scaffold01098.con0004.1, whole genome shotgun sequence.
GGGUGUGAUCAAACUAGCACUAAUGCACCGGAUCCCGUCAGAACUCCACAGUUAAGCGUGAUAGUAUUAGCGUUGUACUAGGAUGGGUGUCCUCCUAGGAAGUCCUUGUGUUGCACACC